GCUGGCUCCUCCCGGUGAGAUGGGUGCUAUGACAGAUUAGACUUUUAUGCAAGAAAAUCAGUCCUGCGCAGUUGAUAUACUGCUUUAAACUUAAAGACCCCUUGGGACCUGAAACUGUAAGAUUUUCCUGGCUUUUGUUGACCUUUUACUCUUCCAUAAAAUUGCAAAUCAGCUUGUCCAGUUCUUCAGAAAAUCCUGAAUUCUAUAAACCUGAAGAGUAAUCUUUUAGAAAAAUCAUCAGAAGGAGGGAAUUUGUGGAAAUAAAACUGGAAACAUUCAGAAUCUUGAUGGUGUGCCAAACCAAAUGUCAACUGGAGCUCGGCCAAAGACUCAAUCACACCUCAUGGCUCACAGGAUCUUAGUUCCUCGAACAAGGACUGAACCUGUGCCCUCGGCAGUGGAAGCACAGAAUUCUAACCAGUGGGAAAUUCCCUGUAUCAUUUUUGGUGAUACAUGUCAAACUAGACUUAAAAUAUUCUACAUUUCCUUAGAGAGUUGUGGGGGAAGUGUCGAUUUAAGAGAGUCAGGAAAUAUUGAUCCUUGGGAAACUUGUUUGCCAGAAAAAUUUAAAAAUUGUCUUACUUUGAUUUAAAAUGUUUUGUUCCUUAGCAAUAAUUUUUAAAUUUAUUUUUAAUUGGAGGAUAAUUGCUUUUCAUUGCUUUGUUAGUUUCUGCCAUACAACAAUGUGAAUCAGCAAUAAGUAUACUUAUGUCCCCUCCCUCUUGAUCAUCCCUCCCACCUCCCACCCCAUUCUACCCUACUAGGUUGCCUUAAGAAUAAUUUUAAGGGAUAUUAACAUUUGGGUAUUAUUUUUGUAAGUAUGCAAAACCAUAAAUAAUUUUUCUGGUUUGUAAUAAUUUUGUCCUACUGUGUAUGAAAUUGCAUCUUUAUGUAAUGACUGUGGCUUUUGUAAAAAACAUUUGUGAAUUAAUUCAGUAUGAAUUUUUAGAUUUUUAUUUAAUUACAAAGGGAAUUUUUCUUUUUUUUUUUUUUUAGAAAUAGAGAAACCCCAGGUUUGGAUUCCAGCUAUAAUACAAUUUGCCAACUAACUGAUGUUGAAUUUUUAACUUGGCUUCUCUAUUCAUGGAAAACUGGGGACAUUUUGUACGAAAAGUACA